AGGGAUGUGGGGAGAGAGAGGGUCUUCGAAAUCAGCAGCUGAAGGACCAUCCUUCCUGUUAUUGGGAACCAGCCCGCCUGGUGUCAGAGCUGAUGCAGAGGAGAGCUGAGACAUGGAGAGAGAGGCGGGUUUUUGAGGACACUGCUUGAACCCCUGAAUCCAGCCAUGCCUGAAGUGCCCACUUUGUUCAUCUCUGCUCACUGGGGGAGCCAGGACACGGAUCCAGGUUUUCUGACUCCAGGUCUCAGGCUUGCUCCAUAGCGCCACCUGCUGGUAGGCACCCAAAUCAAGACUCAGAUUUCCUCAUCUCAGAAGUUGUCCACUUCUUCUCCGACCUCCACGGUAACUCGGAACCACACCGUGGAGUUAUCCCUGUGUCCUCUUUCUCGGAAGUUCCACAUCCAACCCCUCAGCAGGUCUCAGCGGCACUCUCACCACCUCCUCUGCUCUGUUCCUGUUUCUCUUGGAUGGUCGAAUGUUUCCUAAGGAGUGUCUGCUGCUUCACGCUUGCCCCCUGGAGUGGCAUCUAAAAGGAUACCCUACAACUAACAGGCAUGAUGCCAUCAAGACAUCUUGAGCCUGGCUACCUCCCGUGGCCUGUAUUUUGUCCACAGGAAACUCGCGCAGUCUCACUACAGCAAAUUGAGGUGGUAUGGGGUGCCUGCUGCUGCCUCUCUCUUCACCUUUCCACAGAGGGCUGCCCCAGCCUGACUCCCACUUCCAGAGUUUCUCCAGCCAGGAGAAUCCUGAAAUCUCUGUAAAUAAGCAAUCCAGGAGCCAGAGAAUCAUGGGAUCUCAUAUAAACAAAUCAUCAAGGAAAAACACAGCCAGAGUCUCCAUUUGGUAAACCUCCGUGACUGGGGAUCCCCGGCCACCCAGAAAGCAGUAUUGCCUGCCAUGCAUGUCAUCACUGAUUUUUACUGCUGCAGCAGACUCCGUCAGACCUGCCUGCUGCUUCAGCGAAUUGUUCAGUGCACACCACCAGCUACCUGCUGUAAGCAUUCACACUCCUCUACCUGCCUGGCAGCAUUUCUCAGCUGAACACAGGCCAGGCCAGAAGUGCCAGGGAUUUAAUGCCCUUAGAAGUAGCUCUCUACCAAUGACAAAUGGAGCUGGUGGAUACAUUCUCAGCUUCCUCCCCUCUCAGGUGGAACAGCCCUGAGAUGUGCUCUAUGCAAUCUCCCACAAGUCCCCAGCAGGCUCAAGCUCCCAUUGUCCAACCCUGGUAACCUGCUCAUUGACACCCCUGUCUUGCCUUCCCUUCCUGGCCUCACUUUCUCACUCUCUUACUGUUGCCUCCUGAGAUCGCAUCCAAAAUAAAUGACCUGCACCCA
rnacentral:lncRNA from 1 species